CUCUAUUUAAAGCUGAUAUUAAGUUAUAGUUUUUGUUAAAGAUACAGCCGAAAUAUGUUGCACUCCUAGACAGAGAAGAUGGAUUCAUGGCAGAUAGGAAGAGUCAACAUAUACAGCCCAGAUAUGUUCCACUCCCAUACAUUGAAGAUGGUUUCAUGGUAGAUGGCACAUUAGGAUGUUUAACAUAUACAGCCUAAAUAUGUAAGACUCCUAUACCAUGAAAGAUGCUUCCAUUGCAGAUAGCACAUUAGGAUAAGUCACAUAUACAGCCUAAAUAUGUAAGACUCCUAUACCAUGAAAGAUGCUUCCAUUGCAGAUAGCACAUUAGGAUAAGUCACAUAUACAGCCUAAAUAUGUAAGACUCCUAUACCAUGAAAGAUGCUUCCAUUGCAGAUGCACAUUAGGAUAAGUCACAUAUUAUACAGCCUAAAUAUGUGACACUCCUAUACCAUGAAAGAUGCUUUCAUUGUAGAUAGC